UCCAAGGCUGAGUCAAUCGGACCCUUCAGAAUUUCCACUACAGAAAGUCUGAUUCCUGGUCAAAUUGGUAACUGAGAGCCAGAUUUCCCUUUUCCCCAUAUGCUAUCUGAGGCAUCCCAUGCCAGAUUUCCUGGAUAAAAUCACGCCAAGGUGGCAUUUUCUUUUUGGAUUUGGAAGGGGUUUUUGUUAACAGGAGGACUGUGGUCUCUGAGAACGGACAGCAGAUCCGAUGUGUCCUCUGUAACCACUUCUCCCUAACCCAUCCCCUGGAACGAGGAGAGGACCUCCUUGGCCCGAGAUCCGCGCCUCCCUGAAGGAGUUCAUUACCACAACAACAAAAACAGGUGACACCUGGUGGGAAAAUGUUGGAAUUUCUGUGUUUUUCCAGCAUUAUACUUUGCCCACUCCCUGCUCUGGCAGCUGCCCAGUGGUACCGGUGAGGGUGAGGAUACCUGGGUGAGGUGGAGGAAGGUUCUCUGAACCCUAUCCUUUGAUCAGAAAGGGGCACAGAAGUAUCCUCUUGGAGAAGAAUGUGUUUGCAUAGGGUUGUGCAAGAAGGUGGAGUAUAGUGAAGCCUGCAAUCAGCAACUUCACACAUCACUGCUCUGAGGCUGCGGUGUGCAGACGCGGAGCCAUUUAGGAGCUGCCUCGGGAGGACACCUUCCCCACCGGCCUCCUGACGAGCUCGGGGGUCUGGUCCUCCCUUUCCAA